GUCCACGGCCAUGCCACCCUGAACAAGCCUGAUCCCGUCUGAUCUCGGAAGCUAAGCAGGGUCAGGCCCGGUUAGUACUUGGAUGGGAGACCACCUAGGAUGACCAGGUGCUGUAGGUG
rnacentral:rRNA from 1 species